GUCAUCGUUGCACCUCUACUUUUAUUUCAUAAAAAAUGACUCAAACUGAUGAGAUUGUCAAAAUAGUUGCAGAUUAACUUAAUAAUCGCCGGCUAAUGGAUUCAUCUUUACUCUCUGUUGGAUUCCUAAUUUAGUUUGAGCAGAGAUGGUUGCUGUCGGUGCCGGCUGCCGACCAGAUUAAAGUGAUGCUUGAGAUCUUAUAAAGUGGGUCAGUUUGUUUUGUUGGCUGGCUUGUGAGUCCCAACUAUCGCUUUUAAAAUUUAGGAUGGACUUAACCCUUGUGUUGUCUUCCCGUCCACCAUGAAUGGGUUGUCCUUCCGGGUCAAAAUUGAAUUUUUUUUGGCACUUUUUCCAAUGUUUUUGUCACUUUUCUCAAUGAUUUUUUUAAAUUCAUGGUCAUUAAACCUAAUUUAAAUGACAUUAUACCCAAUUUUUGAGUUAAUAAAAUCAGAAAUGAUGCAUUUUUUUUGACUAAUAGUUAAGAUCAGAGGAUGUUGAGUGAAUAACAGACUGUUUUAUGUCAAACUUUAGUCUUGACACUAUUUAAAAAAUAUAUUGA